GCAAUAGCUCAAAUUUGAAAUCUGGCUCCCUCUGGGGGUCCGAGUUGUAAUUUGCAGAGGGUGCUUUGGUGUCGGCAGCGGUCUAAGUUCCUUGGAACAGGACAUCGCAGAGGGUGAGAAUCCCGUUUGUGGUCGCAUGCCUUCGCCGUGUAAAGCCCCUUCGACGAGUCGAGUUGUUUGGGAAUGCAGCUCUAAAUGGGAGGUAAAUUUCUUCUAAAGCUAAAUACUGGCCAGAGACCGAUAGCGCACAAGUAGAGUGAUCGAAAGAUGAAAAGCACUUUGGAAAGAGAGUCAAACAGCACGUGAAAUUGUUGAAAGGGAAGCGCUUGCAGCCAGACUUGCCCGUAGUUGCUCACCCAGGCUUUUGCCCGGGGCAUUCUUCUGCGGGCAGGCCAGCAUCAGUUUGGGCGGUCGGAUAAAGGCCUCUGUCACGUAUCUUCCUUCGGGAUGACCUUAUAGGGGAGGCGACAUGCGACCAGCCCGGACUGAGGACCGCGCUUUUUGCUAGGAUGCUGGCGUAAUGGCUGUAAGCGGCCCGUCUUGAAACACGGACCAAGGAGUCUAACAUCUAUGCGAGUGUUUGGGUGUCAAGCCCGAGCGCGUAAUGAAAGUGAACGGAGGUGGGAACCCUUUGGGUGCACCAUCGACCGAUCCUGAUGUCUUCGGAUGGAUUUGAGUAAGAGCAUAGCUGUUGGGACCCGAAAGAUGGUGAACUAUGCUUGAAUAGGGUGAAGCCAGAGGAAACUCUGGUGGAGGCUCGCAGCGGUUCUGACGUGCAAAUCGAUCGUCAAAUUUGGGCAUAGGGGCGAAAGACUAAUCGAACUAUCUAGUAGCU
rnacentral:rRNA from 1 species